CCAGCGAGCUCGGCCUAGGCCCCACUCCGCCGCCGUCAUGGGCUGCACGUUGAGCGCCGAGGACAAGGCGGCGGUGGAGCGGAGUAAGAUGAUCGACCGCAACUUGCGGGAGGACGGGGAGAAAGCGGCCAAAGAAGUGAAGCUGCUCCUGCUGGGUGCUGGAGAAUCGGGUAAAAGUACCAUUGUGAAACAGAUGAAAAUCAUUCAUGAAGAUGGCUAUUCAGAGGAAGAAUGUAAACAGUAUAAAGUAGUUGUCUACAGUAAUACUAUACAGUCCAUCAUUGCAAUCAUUAGAGCCAUGGGACGGCUAAAGAUUGAUUUUGGGGAACCUGCCAGAGCAGAUGAUGCUCGGCAAUUAUUUGUUUUAGCUGGCAGUGCUGAAGAAGGAAUCAUGACUUCAGAACUAGCAGGAUUGAUUAAACGGCUAUGGCGAGAUGGUGGGGUGCAGGCAUGCUUUAGCAGGUCCAGGGAAUAUCAACUCAACGAUUCUGCUUCAUAUUACCUAAAUGAUUUGGAUAGAAUAUCACAAACCAACUACAUUCCAACUCAGCAAGAUGUUCUUCGGACCAGAGUGAAGACCACAGGCAUUGUGGAAACACAUUUCACCUUCAAAGACCUAUACUUCAAGAUGUUUGAUGUAGGUGGCCAAAGAUCAGAACGAAAAAAAUGGAUUCACUGUUUUGAGGGAGUGACAGCAAUUAUCUUCUGUGUGGCCCUCAGUGAUUAUGACCUUGUUUUAGCCGAGGAUGAGGAGAUGAACCGAAUGCAUGAAAGCAUGAAGCUCUUUGACAGCAUUUGUAACAACAAAUGGUUUACAGAAACUUCCAUCAUUCUCUUCCUUAACAAGAAAGACCUUUUUGAAGAAAAAAUAAGGAGGAGUCCAUUAACUAUCUGUUACCCGGAAUACACAGGUUCUAAUACAUAUGAAGAGGCAGCUGCUUACAUUCAGUGCCAGUUUGAAGAUCUGAACAGAAGGAAAGAUACCAAGGUGAUCUCUACUCACUUCACCUGUGCCACAGACACCAAGAAUGUGCAGUUUGUUUUUGAUGCUGUUACAGAUGUCAUCAUUAAAAACAACUUAAAGGAAUGUGGACUUUAUUGAAGAAGGGGGAUGCUAGUAAAAGUUACUACAGUGUGGAGUGUUGAGACCAGACAUCCUUUGCCUCCUUGUGGGGCAGCUGCAAGCAUGACGGGACCAGGGAAUGGCAGCAGCAUGCAGAAUCUUAGCACUCUUUAGCACAAUCUUCUGCGUUAGGGAACUUUAA